AUUGAACGCUGGCGGCAGGCCUAACACAUGCAAGUCGAACGAGUGGCGGACGGGUGGGUAAUGUCUCGGAAACUGCCUGAUGGAUGGGGAUCACUAAUGGAAACGGUAGAUAAUACCGCAUACAAUCGAAUGUGCCCAGCUGGGAUUAUCUAGUAGGUGGGGUAAAGGCGAACCUAGGCGACGAUCCCUACCUGGUCUGAGAGGAUGACCAGCCACACUGGACCUGAGACACGGUCCAGCCUCCUACGGGAGGCAGCAGUGGGGAAUAUUGCACAAUGGGCGCAAGCCUGAUGCAGCCAUGCCGCGUGUAUGAAGAAGGCCUUCGGGUUGUAAAGUACUUUCAGCGGGGAGGCGUUACCCGCAGAAGAAGCACCGGCUAACUCCGUGCCAGCAGCCGCGGUAAUUC
rnacentral:rRNA from 1 species